rnacentral:rRNA from 3 species
GCUGGUGAUUUGUCGCCAUGGAACUACCUCUUCCCAUUCCGAACAGAGUCGUAAAACAUGGUAGAGGCGAUGAUACUCGUCAAGGGGAAAGUAGCUAAUCGCCAGCU